rnacentral:tRNA from 1 species
GGGGAUGUAGCUCAGUGGUAGAAUGCAUGCUUUGCAUGUAUGAGGCCCUGAGUUCAAUCCGCAGCAUCUCCA